rnacentral:lncRNA from 1 species
CAAUUAAGGUGUUUAUCUGAAAACAUUGCAGAAUGAAUAAUAUGCAAAGGCCUCUUUUUCAGACCUAAACACUGGACCUUUAUUCCACGAAGAAUUUGCAAUGAAGAUGGAGAAUAUUCUGGCUGCACCUGGCCCUCCACCGACAGCAAGGUCACAAGUGUGCCCUGUGUUAAGAAAGACUGGGACACGCUGGUCUGAGGACAAGAACUCUAGCUCAUUUUGUUCUAUUCCCGGAACGGCAAGUGCUUGCUGGAGAUUAUUCAUCCACAAUUCGGAAGUGCUGUGAGGCUGUUUACCACUGCAUCCUUCUGCCCUGUUACAUAACACAAGAGGAUGGACUCCGGAAAACACAGAAGGUGGAAUGCUCGCAUAACGUUGUGUGAGAUACAUCUCGAACCCUCUUCACAAGUGUCUCACAACUGUUGUUAAAAGCCACUUCCUCCCCCCCCCCAGCUCAUAAGUUUCCUUUGGUUGAACAAUUGCAAUGUAUAGUCAGAGUUUGAACGGUUGCCAACUAAAAUUCUUGCAUCAGGCUCCAUGGCUGUCUGUUCCACCAAGACAAAUAAGAGCGGCCCCAACCCCUCACUUAGUGCAUUGUUCACGGUGCUGAGCCGUGAUUUUCCAUAUCUGACUGUCUUUGUGUUCACCCCAGGAGGAAGGGUGAGCCUGGUUUAUUGAGUUCUUAUUUCUCACAAAGCGGUAACAUCUGGAGGGUUGAGCAGUUUGUUGGCAGGUCCAAUCUGAAGGAAUUCGGCCAUGGUUCCGAUUGGCUCUUAUCAGUAGGUGUCACUAAAGACAGUUUCAGAGACAGAAAAAUAAAUAGGCCAAUUAAGUAAUGCCA